AGGCGCGUAGCUCAGUUGGUUAGAGCGCUACCUUGACACGGUAGAGGUCUGGGGUUCAAGUCCCCACGCGCCUA
rnacentral:tRNA from 1 species